rnacentral:tRNA from 1 species
CGGGGCAUAGCUCAGCCUGGUAGAGUGCUUGCAUGGGGUGCAAGAGGUCGCACGUUCGAACCGUGUUGCCCCGACCA